rfam:Capsicum annuum cultivar Zunla-1 unplaced genomic scaffold scaffold3345, whole genome shotgun sequence
CUCAAGGAGAGUUCGAUCCUGGCUCAGAAUGAACGUUGGCGGCAUGCUUAACACAUGCAAGUCGGAUGGGAAACAUGGGAAAUGGUAUUUCCAGUGGCGGAUGGGUGAGUAACGCGUAAGAACCUGCCCUUAGGAGGGGAACAAGAGCUGGAAACGGCUGCUAAUACCCCGUAUGCUGAGGACCAAAAGGAGGAAUCCGCCCGAAGAGGUGAUCACAUCUGAUUAGCUAGUUGGUGAGGCAAUAGCUUACUAAGGCGAUGAUCAGUAGAUGGUCCGAGAGGAUGAUCAAUGACACUGGGACUGAGAGACGGCCCAGACUCCUACGGGAGGCAGCAGUGUGGAAUUUUCCGCAAUGGGCGAAAGCCUGACGGAGCAAUGCCGCAUGGAGGUAUCUGGGGAAUAAGCAUCGGCUAACUCUAUGCCAGCAGCCACGGUAAUACAGAGAAUGCAAGUGUUAUCCGGAAUGACUGGGGAUAAAGCAUCUGUAGGUGGCUUUUUAAGUCCACCCUCAAAUCCCAGGGCUCAACCCUGGACAGGCAGUGGAAACAACCAAGCUAGAGUAUGGUGGAGGCAGAAGGAAUUUCUGGUGGAGUAUUGAAAUGCGUAAAGAUCGGAAAGAACACCAACGGCGAAACCACUCUGCUGGGCCGACACUGAAACUGAGAGACGAAAGCUAGGGGAGCAAAUGGUAUCAGAUACCCAAGUAGUCCUAGCCGUAAAUAAUGGAUACUAGGCGUUGUGCGUAUCGACCCGUGCAGUGCUGUAGCUAACACGUUAAGUAUCCCGCCUGAGGAGUACGUUCGCAAGAAUGAAACUCAAAGAAAUUGAUGGGGGCCCACACAAGCGGUGGAGCAUCUGGUCUAAUUCGAUGCAAAGUGAAGAACCUUUCCAGGGCUUGACAUGCCGCUAAUCCUCUUGAAAGAGAGAGGUACCUUCGAGAAUACGAACACAGGUGGUGCAUGGUUGUCGUCAGCUCAUGCCGUAAGGUUUUGGGUUAAGUCCCAUAACGAUCGCAACCCUCGUGUUUAGUUGCCAUCGUUGAGUUUGGAACCCUGAACAGACUAUCGGUGAUAAGUCGGAGGAAGGUAAGGAUGACGUUAAGUCAUCAUUCCCCUUAUGCCCUGGGCGACACACGUGCUACAAUGGCUGGGACAAAGGGUCGCGAUCCCCCGAGGGUGAGCUAACCCCAAAAACCCAUCCUCAGUUUGGAUUACAGGAUGCAUCUCUCCUGCAUGAAGACGGAAUCACUAGUAAUCACCGGUCAGUCAUACGACGGUGAAUUCGUUCUCAGGCCAUAUACAAACCGCCCAUCACACUAUGGGAGCUAUCCAUGCCCGAAUUCGUUACCUUAAUCGCAAGGAGGGGGAUGCCGAAGGUAGGGUUAGUGACUGGAGUGAAGUCAUAACAAGGUAGCCGUACUGGAAGGUGCGGCUGGAUCACCUCCUUU